CCGCGAUAUUUUGAUCGUGCUAAGGUAGCAUAAUCAUUAGUUUUUUAAUUGAAAGCUAGAAUGAAGGGUUGGAUGAAAAAAAUUCUGUCUUAAUUAAAAUUUUAUAGAAUUUUAUUUUUAAGUUAAAAAGCUUAAAUUAAAUUAAAAGACGAGAAGACCCUAUAGAGUUUAAUAUUUAUUUUAAUUUUUUAUUUUUAGAAUUAAAUUUAAUUAUAAAAUAAUUAUUUGAUUGGGGUGAUUAAAAAAUUUAAAAAACUUUUUUUAUAUUUGAAUAUAAUUAUAUAGAUAAUUGAUCCUAUAAUUUUGAUUAUAAGAUAAAAUUACCUUAGGGAUAACAGCGUAAUUUUAUUGGAAAGUU
rnacentral:rRNA from 1 species